rnacentral:lncRNA from 1 species
GGCUAAUCAACCCUCAAUUCUAAAAGUGUUGUCAAGCAAUGAGUUCUAUUGUGUAAUGGCAACACCCUGCACAUAAGUGGCAGUAAGCAACAAUGAGAAGUGAGAACUAUUUAAGAGCAAUGCUAUGCACAACCUGCAAUGUAUACUAUAAUGGAGAGUGAACAAAAAGAUGGAACCAGAGGAUAACAGACCAACAAGAAACUUUUCGUAGACCUACUAAAACUCCUAAACCAGUAGAUGUAGAUUAAAUAGAGGUAAACCAAUCAUAUUUUUUUUAAACUCAGUUCCACAGAACAUUCAUUUUCUUAACAAAAUGCAAUACUCAUCAGAAAGCUAGUCCAUAUUAUGGCUAAAAUAUAUGACAGCAGAAAAAAGAACCUGAGGUCAAAACCUAUUUUCAAAUAUCAGGCCGGCUUCAUGGAAGACCUUCAGAACUUCUAGCAAGCCAUUUCAGGUUUUUGGAGUGCCUCAUGCACUCUAAGUAACAUAAAAAGAUAAAAAAGAGCAUAAACAAAACCUCUAUUUAUGCAGCCCCAAGCGCUUUGGCAUAGUGGUUAGACUACAACGUCUGAUGUGUAGGUUAGUCGCACGUCACGGGUUCAAACACUGCCACAGAACAAAAGCACGGUGUUUAAGUGGAGGAGGGUAGAGGAGUUGGCUCAUUAUCUAUCGAGAUCCAGUGUGUCACUAGCCCUUGGAGAUUUCUCGGUUAUCAAAAAAAGAUUCUCUA